UACGGAGGGAGCUAGCGUUGUUCGGAAUUACUGGGCGUAAAGCGCGCGUAGGCGGCUUUGUAAGUUAGAGGUGAAAGCCCGGAGCUCAACUCCGGAACUGCCUUUAAAACUGCAUCGCUUGAAUCCAGGAGAGGUGAGUGGAAUUCCGAGUGUAGAGGUGAAAUUCGUAGAUAUUCGGCGGAACACCAGUGGCGAAGGCGACUCACUGGCCCGAUACUGACGCUGAGGCGCGAAAGCGUGGGGAGCAAACAGG
rnacentral:rRNA from 1 species